UCGGGCCCAGCGCGCUCUCCGGCGGCCGCGCUCCCUCGCCGCCGCGCCGGGCCUCACCUGGCGACGGCCGUAGGUUUUUUUUUUUUUUUUUUCUCUGUUUACCCUAACAUCUUGAUGAUGCCCAGCCCCGUUGGUUUUUCUUUUUGCUUUGUUUUUCCAACCGCUGGUGGUGUGGUUGGAAGAUGCUCUUGGACGUCUUCUCCACCGCGCCAGGCCCAUAUUCACACCUUGGGGCGCGGUUCCCCUGCCCGCGGGGCUGCCUUUUACUCUUUACGGUCUGGAAGGCUUCUCGUGUUCCCAGUGUCGGGGGAGAAAGACGCAUGUCGUUGUACAAUGGGAUGAGGACGGAGAGCAAAACAGUAUAAAUGACAUCAGAUGACCCUACAAAUGAAGCAUUAUGACAUCAUCAUCAUCAACCAACAGCCUGCCAUGACCUGCUAACAAGAAAAGGGAGUUAAAGAAUUCUUAACACUCUUCACAGUAAAGUCAACUUCCGGUCCCUUGGGUUUUAUGUGUGUUAAAAAGGACCUUCAGAGGAGGGAAGAGUCAGUACCAGUCAUAUCUUUCCUGGGAAAUAUUAAGUAGGAUAUGCUUACUAUCUUCUUCAUUUUUUUAUUAACCUAUAAUCAAAAAAUCCUGAUGUACUCAGGAGCUAAAACAAUGACUUUCUGAUGGGGUGGAACAUAUAUCAUCUCCAGAGAACAUAAAAUUUUUCUGUCUAAAACAUUUGAUUAUACAGUGAAGAUGAAGCUCACAUAUUUCUUUACAAUGUGGGGCUUACUAUCAGACAAAAGGCAAAAUGUCUGAAAAUACCAAAAGUGGGUGGAGCUCUCAUAAACUCUGCAAGAGCAAAAUCGGACAAUUUCCACUUUGGAAAAUAGUUGAACAAUAAUAAAAUUAAAAUUCCCCAUACCUCUGAAGAACCUUUUUUAAUAGUAUCAUUUGCAAUAAAAUAUACUUAAGAAACAUA